AGACGUUCUUCGCCGAGAGUGGUCGGGGUUUCCUGCUUCAACAGUGCUUGGACGGAACCCGGCGCUCGUCCUGCACCCCGGCCGGCCGCCCAUAGCCAGCCCUCCGUCACCUCUUCACCAUGCCCUCGGACUGCCCCAAGGCCCCCGCCGCAGCUCCAGCGCCGCGUAGCCACCACUGCCGCUGCCGCCGCCUCUCCUUAGUCGCCGGCAUGACGACCGCGUCUACCUCGCAGGUGCGCCAGAACUACCACCAAGACUCAGAGGCCGCCAUCAACCGCCAGAUCAACCUGGAGCUCUACGCCUCCUCCAUUUACCUGUGCGUGGCUUACUACUUUGACAGCGAUGAUGUGGCUUUGAAGAACUUUGCCAAAUACUUUCUUCACCAAUCUCAUGAGGAGAGGGAACAUGCUGAGAAAUUGAUGAAGCUGUAGAACCAACGAGGUGGCCGAAUCUUCCUUCAGGAUAUCAAGAAACCAGACUGUGCGGGGAGAAUGCGAUGGGAGAGCGGGCUGAAUGCGAUGGAUUACAUUUGGAAAAAAUUGUGCAUUUUGCAUUACAUUUGGAAAAAAAUGUGAAUCAGUCACUACUGGAACUGCACAAACUGGCCACUGACAAAAAUGACCCCCAUUUGUGUGACUUCAUUGAGACACAUUACCUGAAUGAACAAGUGAAGGCCAUCAAAGAAUUGGGUGACCACGUGACCAACAUGCACGAGAUGGGAGCGCCCGAAUCUGGCGUGGCAGAAUACCUCUUUGACAAGCACACCCUGGGAGACAGUGAUAAUGAAAGCUAAGCCUCAGGCUAAUUUCCCCAUAGCCAUAGGGUGACUUACCUUGUCACCAAGGCAGCGCAUGUAUGUUGGGGUUUCCUUUACCUUUUCUAUAAGUUGUUCCAAGACACCCACUUAAGUUCUUUGAUUUGUACCAUUCCUUCAAAUAAAUAAAUUUGGUACCC